UUGCGCCGUUAGCGCAUAGCCGCCAUGUUAGCUCUGCUCAGGGCGCGCACCCCGACAUUUUACAGCAGGCACUUGGGUGGAAUGGUGCGCGUUCACGAGGGUAGAAUGGGCUACCAUGACUGGCAGAAAAGGGAAAACUGACUUCCCCGUUAUGUACUUGAAGUGGAGCAGCAUAAAAACAAAGCCGAAUAGACAGACAUCAAAUUGGAUAACAUUAAACAAGGCUAAUCCUUCACACUCACAGGCUCGUCAAUCACAGGAAAGACUAGAUCACCUUUUCACAGCCUGGAGGAAGAAAAGCUCCUUGAUUACACGUUUGGCUGUGACUCACCCGCUGCCUCUGUCUGUAGCCUCAGGUCGACUCACAAAGUGAAAGUGGUUCUUCAGGUGUUGAUGGAUUUGCCCAGAAGUAGUUAACCUUACAUAAACUGUUAAAAUACCGUUAAACUAUGCAUUUUUCCCUACUAAAAGUUAGAUUAUAUGUCUGUUAGAGCCUAGGUUUAUCAUUUCAUAAUGAAUGUGAACAGUUUUCUUUUAUUUAUUAUUGAGUAAUUGUUUCUUGUUUUAUUCAAUUUUAGAUAGGGCUGAAACAAUUAAGCGAUGGCUAAAUUGAGUGUUGUUUCUUAAGGAUUAAAAAAAGUUUUCUGAUUUUACAAGUUGAUUGUGAGGUAGGUAUGUAUACAUGCGUUGUAUUUUUAUGUUGUAAAAUAAAAACCUGCUUUCUUAUUAA